AAAGUACUCCCUCCAUACCAAAAUUCUUGUCUUAGAUUUGUCUAGAUACGGAUGUAUCAAGUCACAUUUUAGUAUUAGAUACAUCCGUAUCUAGACAAAUCUAAGACAAGAAAUUUGGGACAGAGGGGGUAGUUG
rnacentral:pre_miRNA from 1 species